UGCAGGUUGAUGUAAUAGUAACAUAUAUGGCUCAUGAUCAUAAAACUUAGGUGCAAAUCCUAAACCUGCAU
rnacentral:tRNA from 1 species